rnacentral:rRNA from 1 species
UACGUAGGGUGCAAGCGUUAUCCGGAAUUAUUGGGCGUAAAGAGCUCGUAGGCGGUUUGUCGCGUCUGCUGUGAAAACUGGAGGCUCAACCUCCAACCUGCAGUGGGUACGGGCAGACUAGAGUGCGGUAGGGGAGAUUGGAAUUCCUGGUGUAGCGGUGAAUGCGCAGAUAUCAGGAGGAACACCGAUGGCGAAGGCAGAUCUCUGGGCCGUAACUGACGCUGAGGAGCGAAAGCAUGGGGAGCGAACAGG